UAUUCUUUCGUUACUUAGCAUUAGUUUGUAGCUUAUACCAUUACAUUUAUUAUUACAAUGAAUGGUUGACACCCCUUGAUAUUCAUGACUUGGUGCAAUCACGUACCUUCCUUUUGACGUCUAUUUUUCAUGUCAUCAUUUCACAUUAAUGGCUACUCUUCUUCCUUUAGUUCAUUCAUACUAUUUGCUUGCUCUCUGAUUGAUUAUUUAAGCUUUUACCUCUACUUUACACUUUGAUAAUUCAGUUUAUUGUUGUAAUAAUUACAGAUACUUGCUAUAAGAUUUCGACAUUGUACAGUACAAGGCUCUUCCAUUCCACAGGUUAGUUUACCAAAAUCUCACAGACCAUUCCUCCCUUACUGACGAGCACAGGGAACGGUUAUUGGUUUGGUUUGGUUUCCGUCUAAGGGCGCGUGCGAAACGGAAACCAAACUAUUGCUUUGGUUUUUAUUGUGUUUAGUCCUCUCGGGUUUCAUUCGUUUCGCCACAAUUUUCAGCCUUUUGUUUUUCCUCUUUUUAUGCCUUGUAUCAUCGAGAGGGAAAAGUCUCUUUUCUCUCGGAUAUAAAAAGGGAAUAGGGUUAAUAUUCCCUAACGCAGACACAGAGAUUGUGGCUCUUUGAGUCACUUGCGCGGUAACGCAUUCGAACUUGGUUACGUCGCUCAGAGACCGAGCUAGAGUUCUCUUCUCUAGUUAAGGAACGGACUCCCUGGAAUCGGUUCAGCCGUAGAUAGGGACGUUGUUUCCGUAAAGCAUCGCGGUUUCUGUGAUGUCUCGUGUUCUCUGGACGGCCCUUGAAAAACCAAGGAAGGCUAUUAAUCUGUGCUGCAUCGUACCGAUAUCCGCAUCAGGUCUCCAAGGUGAACAGCCUCUAGUCGAUAGAAUAAUGUAGGUAAGGGAAGUCGGCAAAUUAGAUCCGUAACUUCGGGAAAAGGAUUGGCUCCAGUGACCGGGUCGGUUGGCCUGUUAACU
rnacentral:ncRNA from 1 species